rnacentral:rRNA from 1 species
UACGUAGGGUGCGAGCGUUGUCCGGAAUUAUUGGGCGUAAAGGGCUCGUAGGCGGUCUGUUGCGUCAGGAGUGAAAACUCGGGGCUUAACCCCGAGCCUGCUUCUGAUACGGGCAGACUAGAGGUAUGCAGGGGAGAACGGAAUUCCUGGUGUAGCGGUGAAAUGCGCAGAGAUCAGGAGGAACACCAACGGCGAAGGCAGUGAUCUGGGCCAGUAUUGACGCUGAGGAGCGAAAGCGUGGGGAGCGAACAGG